UACGUAGGGUGCAAGCGUUAAUCGGAAUUACUGGGCGUAAAGCGUGCGCAGGCGGUUUUGUAAGACAGAGGUGAAAUCCCCGGGCUCAACCUGGGAACUGCCUUUGUGACUGCAAGGCUUGAGUGCGGCAGAGGGGGAUGGAAUUCCGCGUGUAGCAGUGAAAUGCGUAGAUAUGCGGAGGAAUACCGAUGGCGAAGGCAGGUCUCUGGGCUGAAACUGACGCUCAUGCACGAAAGCGUGGGGAGCAAACAGG
rnacentral:rRNA from 1 species